rnacentral:misc_RNA from 1 species
GAAAUGCGAUAAGUAAUGUGAAUUGCAGAAUUCAGUGAAUCAUCGAAUCUUUGAACGCACAUUGCACCCGCCAGUAUUCUGGCGGGCAUGCCUGUUCGAGCGUCAUUUCAACCAUCAAGCCCCCCGGCUUGUGUUGGGGACCUGCGGCUGCCGCAGGCCCUGAAAAGCAGUGGCGGGCUCGCUGUCACACCGAGCGUAGUAGCAUACAUCUCGCUCUGGGCGUGCUGCGGGUUCCGGCCGUUAAACCACCUUCGUAACCCAAGGUUGACCUCGGAUCAGGUAGGAAGACCCGCUGAACUUAAGC